GGAGUGGGUUUGCCGUUUGCCUA
rnacentral:siRNA from 1 species